rnacentral:lncRNA from 1 species
AUGGGGAUGGACAAGUUUUGCCAGCGAGGAAGUAGCACCCAGUUGUUUCGCAAGCACAAAAGGCAAACGAGGCAAUGGGAAGGGAAAAAAAAGGCCGAUAAAAGUCCCAGGAAUUACUGCUCUGGCUUGUUUUCUUUCAAAGAUAUCCCCGUGUCGCUGCCGAUCCAGUGCACGGAGGAUAUGGUGGCGGAGGAAGGGGAAAGGCCACCAGACGGCCACCAGAAACGCUUGGGGGCCUUGAUAUCUGCCACCUCCACCCUGGAGGGCUCCGCUCAUCCCCUGGUGAAGCCACAAGCCACCGGCACGUUGCCCAGCUUUGACAGCAAGUACCCACCAAGCGCCGGGAACGGCAGCAUCUUUGGUGGUGGAACUGGAGGAGCAGCUCUUGCCGUAGCUUUUGGCGGCAACGAGGCGGAGAGGAGAGAGAGGGUGGAUAUAAACGCGUGGCUGAAAACCUGCAGGAUGUUUCCUGCCAUGAAAGCCCCCAAAGAAGAAGUGAGAGCUUGCUGCAGCCCGCAGGAGUUUUUGGCACCGAACCCGGUGGUCGGGGACUCUUUCCUGACUCUUCUGGACCUCUACGAUGCCCCUGAAGCCCUUCGGAGGGAAGAUGAUUCCCAGGAAAACGCUCUGCCUGCUGAGGCUGACAUCCCAGUAGAGAUCCGAGGACCUGUGAAGAUGUCCUGGACACCGGGCUGGGUGCUGGAGGACGGGACGCUCGGACAAGGCGCCGUCCUCACCUCCGAGGGUGCUCAGGCUUGUGACAUUUGCCAGGAGAUGUCCGUGGGCCAAGCAGACUAUUUAAAGCACGUCUUAGCCCAUAUGAAGUAGGACUUUGUCUUUGCGAUGGGAAAUCUGCCUAUUUGCACCUCAACCAACGUGACGGGUCACCUGAGCUGCUCUCUGGACCUUCAGGAGAUCCCACCGAUGGCUCUGAGCAGGGUCAGCUCAGGUGGCAUCCUCUUCCCUGUAAUCCAGCGUGCUCCCAAGCUCCCUCCCCUGGGCCAGUUGAGGGUCCUGGGUGUGUUUGGGUUUGCUGAGCUUCAUGAAGAUCAAAGCAGCUUCUGUGCUGAGAUCUGGACUUGUGUGGGGCUGAGCAGGGGAGCUGGAAUUUGACGGGAGAUGGAAAUUUAUCAAAAUUCACCUUUAACCGAGUGGAAAUGAGUUUUCCAUAAAUAGACAGGGGUGUUUGAAAAGUCACACUGGCUUUUUCUGAGAGCGUGGAAGGUCGGGUGGGAGAACUGUGAGGUUUUCACUGUCGCAAAACCUCCAGUGGCUGUUUGAGAGAGGCUGAGGAACGUGGUGACGGGGACAGGAUCCCACCUUCUGAGCGUGUCCUGGAGGGGUGUAACCUAGAGCUCUUCUCACUCCUAUUAAAACCUCAUCAGCUCCAGCUGAGAGAGUUAAUUGAUCCCUCUCCAGGUGGGAAGAGGCUCAUCAGCACCCGUGGGUGUGGGGUGGGUUCUCCCAGCCCUGGUCCUGGUGUUUUUGGGGAGCAGUGGAGCAGAAAGGGGUUCCCCCAGCGCGGGGAAGGGACCGACACGGGUGUUACUGCCCCCAGUUUCUAUUAAAUCUCUUGGGAAAACACCUUUUGAAGGAGAGGGG